rnacentral:rRNA from 1 species
GACGAACGCUGGCGGCGUGCUUAACACAUGCAAGUCGAACGAAGUGGCGAACGGGUGAGUAAUACGUGGGUAACCUGCCCUCCUUUUUGGGAUAAGCCUUGGAACCGGGGUCUAAUACCGAAUCCAGGGGGAUGGGCUCGCUGCCUAUCAGAUUGGUGUUGGGGUGAUGGCCUACCAAGGCGGUGACGGUUAGCCGGCCUGAGAGGGUGACCGGCCACAUUGGGACUGCGAUACGGCCCAUACUCCUACGGGAGGCAGCAUUGGGGGAUAUUGCGCAAUGGGCGAAAGCCUGAUGCAGCAACGCCGCGUGCGGGAUGACGGCCUUCGGGUUGUAAACCGCUUUCAGCCAUGACCCGGUAGUGGCAGAGGAAGCACCGGCUAACUACGUGCCAGCAGCCGCGGUAAUUC